UUGAGGGAGACGCGUGCUAUUCACGAGCCGGUUUGUCCGCAUAACAUGAAGCGGGGGUUUUACAGUGGGCUCCACAACUCCUACAUAGGAGCAAAACCAGGCGUAUAAUACAAGCCUUGUAGAUAUACUUACUACAUACGUACACACAUAUAUAUAUAUACCAAAGAGGCGGGAAAAGCUUAAACCCUAGUACCCAACCUUUGAGAAGUUGGCUUGGCUUUCUGACUUCAUUCUAUUCAAAAAAAUGGGAAUUAAGGGUUUAAUGAAGCUGUUGGCUGACAAUGCUCCAAGUGGAAUGAAGGAGCAGAAAUUCGAGAGCUAUUUCGGUCGUAAAAUAGCCAUCGACGCUAGUAUGAGCAUUUAUCAGUUCCUGAUUGUCGUUGGACGAAGCGGUACGGAAAUGCUCACUAACGAAGCUGGGGAAACUACCAGUCAUUUGGUUGGGAUGUUUUCGCGGACGAUUAGGCUUUUGGAAGCUGGAAUCAAGCCAGUUUAUGUUUUUGAUGGGAAGCCCCCUGAUUUGAAGAAACAAGAACUUGCAAAACGUUACUCUAGAAGGGAAGAUGCCACAGAUGACUUGGCUAAGGCUACAGAGAGUGGCAACAAGGAGGAUAUUGAGAAAUUCAGCAAGAGAACAGUAAAGGUUACGCCGCAACACAAUGAUGACUGCAAAAAGCUUCUCAGACUGAUGGGGGUACCUGCUGUUGAGGCUCCUUCUGAAGCAGAGGCUCAGUGUGCUGCACUUUGCAAGGCAGAAAAGGUCUAUGCUGUGGCCUCAGAAGAUAUGGAUUCCUUAACUUUUGGAGCUCCAAAGUUUCUUCGCCAUUUAAUGGAUCCUAGCUCCAAAAAGAUACCAGUGAUGGAAUUUGAUAUCUCCAAGGUAUUAGAGGGACUCGAACUUACUAUGGAUCAGUUCAUAGACUUGUGCAUUCUCUGUGGAUGUGAUUACUGUGAUAGCAUCCGAGGCAUAGGGCCCCAGACGGCUUUGAAGCUUGUACGCCAACAUGGGUCAAUGGAGAGCAUAUUAGAGAAUAUUAACAAAGAGAGAUAUCAAAUACCUGAAGAUUGGCCUUAUGAAGAGGCUAGGCGGCUCUUCAAGGAACCAUUAGUUGUUACAGAUGAUGAGCAAACUGAACUAAAAUGGGCUGCUCCUGAUGAAGAAGGGUUGGUUAACUUUCUGGUUAAGGAAAAUGGAUUCAACAUUGAUAGAGUUACGAAGGCAAUUGAAAAGAUCAAGACAGCCAAGAACAAAUCUUCUCAGGGACGGUUAGAAUCAUUCUUUAAACCAGUUAGCACAUCUGCUCCAGUUAAAAGAAAGGAAACAGCUCACACCACUGAGAAAGGAGCUGCUAGCAAGAAAUCAAAGGCUGGUGGUGGUAAGAAGAAAAAGUAGUUAGUGUCAAGUUAAAGCUUGCAGUGAAGUGAUGGUUUCGUACCUUGGUCAGGUUAGAUUCUUUGAUCUAUUUUAUUUGAUCAUUAUCUACGUUGACUUUGUCUGCAAUACAGAUUCUGAUGCCAAUUUAUAAUUUUUCCUCAAAACCAUUGUCCACUUAUCCGGCCUUUAUUGGAGUAUGAGAUGUCAACUGAAUUGAAGUGGCUAAUGUGUUAACUUUGGAUUUUUUUCUGGACUUUGAAAGUAGUUCUAGAAAUCCUUUUGGUUUCUGCACAGUAAUUUGGUGUACUUUCAAUGCACCAUGAUGACGUGCCGUUCUCAAGAUCUAGCUUAAACCAGACAGACAGGAAUUGAAGUUUGUGUUUGAAGAAAGGAACACGGGUUCCUAGUUGGAAUUUACGGAAAAGAUAAAAGAAAUGGUUGUUUUUCUUUUCCCAUAUUUGCAAGUGAAGAAAAGAAGACAAAUUGGAUCAUCUAUAUAAGUACUUCCGGACUUCAGUUAACUGUGUGUAUCAGAGGUUGAUGUGUGUUUCACUAAUUAUUAACCUGAUUUGACUUGAUGUUGGCUUAACCUUCAUUUCUUUCGUUUUUGGUCUCUUUAAGGAUACACUAACGCAUUGUGGUUUCUUUCAUCUG